CUGUUGGGGCAGAACUAACCUAAAAGCAAACAUGUGACUUUAGGAUUCCUCAGACACACUGUAACUAAUUGUACACAGAGUUACAUCCUAGAAGAGUAGACAUUAGACACAUCUUACCACCAUCAUGCACAGUCUUUAACUUGUCUACCAACUCUCUUGUUGAAGCCAUUGGAAGCUAUGUAGCUUCCAGAGGUAUAAAUGUAUUAGUCAGUUAAACCCUGAUGAUAGCAAACACCAGCCAAUAUCUGGGACUUCAUAUACAUUCCUACAAAGUUUUCAAUGUAAUGUGUAACAUUGAAAGAUGCUAAAUUGUAAAUAGUUAUUAAUUAUGUUUCAGAAUUUGUACAUUGACACUACAAUGGUUAUUGUAUUGAACUAGAUAUCUUAAGAAUCAGAGGGGAGAUAGAAUUUUUGUUCAACAUAAUUGUUAAAUGAUUGUGUAGCACCAUAACAUGAUUGAAAAUGUCACAUACAUUCUGUCAAACUCAGAUGUCAUCAGUUUUGUGGAUCAGGAAACUACAGCUAAGAUAAGCAGAAGAUUUAUACUGUCACGUGAUCACAGAUUUGCAGUAGAAUUGGUUCUAGAGCCCUCUGUUUAAAUAAUACCCUGUUUGCCAGGCAGUGGUAGCGGACGCCUGUAAUCCCAGCACUCAGGAGGCAGAGGCAGGAGGAUUUCUGAGUUUGAGGCCAGCCUGGUCUACAAAGUGAGUUCCAGGACAGCCAGGGCUACACAGAGAAACCCUGUCUCAAACAAACAAACAAACAAACAAACAAAACAACAACAACAAAAAAAACAACACAGAAAACCAAACCUGUUUACCUUCCUUUUGUCUGAAUUAUGCUGCCACUGUGCCAGAAAUUGUUUUCAUUUUCUUUAGUCAUGGGACAUAACUUCAGAGUUCACAAGCAAACUGAUGGGUGUGUAGCAUUUGAACUCUUGGCCCAGAGCUCAAUGAAACAGCAAGACAGCCAGAGGGAGGCUCAGUCCCCAACCUUCACAAAGCCAAACUGUAAGAAAAAAUAACUCCUUGUUUGGGAUUUUUUUU
rnacentral:lncRNA from 1 species